UUAGGCAUGCAGUCGAACGAAUCCCACCCGGGCAACUGGGUGGGGGAAGUGGCGAAAGGGGCAGUAAGGCGUGGGUAACCUGCCCCGGAGUUCGGGAUAGCCUUCCUAACGGAUGGGUAAUACCGAACGCCAUGAGCGAGGGGCCUCCUUUGCUCAUGAAAGCCCGCAAGGGCGCUCCGGGAGGGGCUCACGUGAUAUUAGCUAGUUGGUGGGGUAACGGCCCACCAAGGCCAAGAUGUCUAGCAGGUGUGAGAGCACGACCUGCGCCACUGGCACUGGGACACUGGCCAGACUCCUACGGGAGGCUGCAGUCGAGGAUCUUCGGCAAUGGGCGCAAGCCUGACCGAGCGACGCCGCGUGCGCGAUGAAGGCCUUCGGGUUGUAAAGCGCUGUCGGGAGGGAGAAAGCCCGCGAGGGUUGAUCGACCUCCGGAGGAAGCACGGGCUAAGUUCGUGCCAGCAGCCGCGGUAAGACGAACCGUGCGAACGUUGUUCGGAAUCACUGGGCUUAAAGGGCGCGUAGGCGGGCUUACAAGUCCGGGGUGAAAGCCCCCAGCUCAACUGGGGAAGCGCCUUGGAUACUGUAGGCCUCGAGGGGGGUAGGGGCGCGCGGAACUUCCGGUGGAGCGGUGAAAUGCGUAGAUAUCGGAAGGAACACCGGUGGCGAAAGCGGCGCGCUGGACCCCUUCUGACGCUGAGGCGCGAAAGCCAGGGGAGCAAACGGGAUUAGAUACCCCGGUAGUCCUGGCCCUAAACGUUGGGCACUAGGUUGUGGGCUUACAUGGGCUCACAGCCGGAGCAAAAGUGUUAAGUGCCCCGCCUGGGGAGUAUGGUCGCAAGGCUGAAACUCAAAGGAAUUGACGGGGGCUCACACAAGCGGUGGAGCAUGUGGCUU
rnacentral:rRNA from 1 species